rnacentral:tRNA from 1 species
UCCCUGGUGGCUCAGAUGGUAAAGCAUCUGUCUACAAUGCAGAAGACCCAGGUUCGAGCUCUGGGUUGGGAA